rnacentral:rRNA from 1 species
UACAGAGGUCUCAAGCGUUGUUCGGAUUCAUUGGGCGUAAAGGGUGCGUAGGCGGCGCGGUAAGUCGGGUGUGAAAUCUUGGAGCUUAACUCCGAAACUGCAUUCGAUACUGCCGUGCUUGAGGACUGGAGAGGAGACUGGAAUUUACGGUGUAGCGGUGAAAUGCGUAGUUAUCAGGAGGAACACCGGUGGCGAAGGCGGGUCUCUGGGCCGAUACUGACGCUGAGGAGCGAAAGCGUGGGGAGCGAACAGG